rnacentral:rRNA from 1 species
UAAGGAAUAUUGGUCAAUGGAGGCAACUCUGAACCAGCCAUGCCGCGUGCAGGAAGACGGCCCUCUGGGUUGUAAACUGCUUUUAUUCGGGAAUAAACCUUUGCUCGUGAGCGAAGCUGAAUGUACCGAAGGAAUAAGGAUCGGCUAACUCCGUGCCAGCAGCCGCGGUAAUACGGAGGAUCCAAGCGUUAUCCGGAUUUAUUGGGUUUAAAGGGUGCGUAGGCGGCCUGUUAAGUCAGGGGUGAAAGACGGUAGCUCAACUAUCGCAGUGCCCUUGAUACUGAUGGGCUUGAAUGGACUAGAGGUAGGCGGAAUGAGACAAGUAGCGGUGAAAUGCAUAGAUAUGUCUCAGAACACCGAUUGCGAAGGCAGCUUACUAUGGUCUUAUUGACGCUGAGGC